AUGAACGGCUAGCGGACAGGCCUAACACAUGCAAGUCGAGGGGCGAUCGGGGUGUAGCAAUACGCUGCCGGCGACCGGCGGAUGGGUGAGUAACGCGUAUGCAACCUGCCUCAGCAGGGGGAUAGCCCGUGAAAGACGGAUUAAUACCCCAUAACACGAGGGGCUCCGCAUGGAGAUUAUUGUUAAAGGGAUACUUCCUUCGGGGGGUAUUCCGGCUGAAGAUGGGCAUGCGUUCCAUUAGGUAGUUGGUUGAGGUAACGGCUCACCAAGCCUGCGAUGGAUAGGGGAACUGAGAGGUUGGUCCCCCACACUGGUACUGAGACACGGACCAGACUCCUACGGGAGGCAGCAGUGAGGAAUCUUGGUCAAUGGACGGAAGUCUGAACCAGCCAUGUCGCGUGAAGGAGGACGGCCCUAAGGGUUGUAAACUUCUUUUGCAGCGGAAUAAAGUAUUCCACGUGAUGGGAUAUUGCAAGUACGCUGCGAAUAAGGAUCGGCUAACUCCGUG
rnacentral:rRNA from 1 species